GCGAAGGUGGCGGAAUUGGUAGACGCGCUAGCUUCAGGUGUUAGUGUUCCUUACGGACGUGGGGGUUCAAGUCCCCCCCCUCGCACCA
rnacentral:tRNA from 1 species